CUGCGGGGCACCGGGGUGAGGCUCCGAGCACGACGCAGUCCAAGGGAGGGUCCGGGCUCGGUGCAGCCCCCGGGACGGAUCGGUGCAGCCCGGGGCGGGGGGCGGGGGGGGGGGUCUGGGCUCGCUGCGGGCUCCGGAGCAGGGUCGCUGGAGGGCGGCUGUUGUCCGGGCUCAGCGCGGCUCUGGGGAGGCGGCUCCUCCGCCCUCCUUGGCCGAGAGCGAGUGGCCGCGUGGCCCCGGCUGCCCGCGCGGCCCUGGCCCAUCGUGGGCUCGGGGAGAGGGGCACAGUCAGACCCUAGCGCCAGCCUAGAUCCUGUGGGUCGGAGGAAGGCGGUUUAUUACCGAGGGGUAGGACGGGCCGUUGAUGCGUCGGCUGACUUUCCCACACCAGAUCAGCGUGUUCACCUCUGGAGAACUCAGGGACCAGAGAAAAUCAGGAAAACCUCAAUCAUGAGAAAGACAUCACACCCAAAUUGAGAGACGUUCUAGCACACACCUGACUGGUGGUCUUCACGAGUCUCAAGGUCACGAAAGACCAAGAAAGACGGGAUUGGAGGAGAGUGAGGAGACACAACAGGACAGUUCAAUACAGUUGGCUCUCCUGGGUCAGCUUCGGGACCAGAGAACGGACGUUAAUGGGAAAACUGGUGGAUUCAGGUAAGGUUCGUACAUUAGUUAAUGGUGGGGUAUCGGUGUGCGUUUCUCUCUUUGGAUAAUUGCCCAUUACAUUGACGAUGUUGUUAUUGGAAGUUGGACUCAGAGUGUAUGGGAAGUCUAUUUUUAUGAAUUUCCGUAAGAUUAAAAUUCAAAAGAAAAGGUAAAAAAAAAAAAAAACCUGUUAAAUAAGUAAACUUCGUGCAAGCCUGCGAUGGGAGAGAUCAUCCUGUGAAAACAGUGGAAAUUUUAUUUGACCCAAGUGUAAGUCAACAAACAUUACUAACCGCCUGUUGCAUCAGGCCCUAACUGAUCUCCCAGCGAUCAAACUCUCCUCCCGCCUGGUCACAGCACUGCCAAACACGGCUUCCUCGGAAGGAAAACCUUCUCACCCCAUCACUGUCCCUCUUGAAAAUUCCUUCGGUGGGGGCGCCUGGGUGGCUCAGUCGGUUAAGCGGCCGACUUCGGCUCGGGUCACGAUUUCGCGGUCUGCGAGUUCAAGCCCCGAGUCGGGCUCUGUGCUGACAGCUCGGAGCCUGGAGCCUGUUUCAGAUUCUGUGUCUCCCUCUCUCUGACCCUCCCCCGUUCAUGCUCUGUCUCUCUCUGUCUCAAAAAUAAAUAAACAUUAAAAAAAAUUAAAAAAAAAAAAAAAAAAGAAAAUUCCUUCGGUGCACACCUGUCAUGGGAACACAGCUCCUCUCAGCUACCUGGGCCGCACCUGCACAGCCCUGAAGCUUCCCACUCCCUGGCUCAGCCUCUCUGGCUCAGCGGUUCAUGCUUCUGGAGCCCCCCGGGGGCAGCUGAGUGCACAGUGGUCCUUUUUAUUCACCAGAACUCACAACUCGUCCUAGGAAAGCACCAUAUGACUUUAGUGUUUUUAAGAAGAAAUACUUUGAGAAGCCACUUGGGUGAUAGAGUGAAAGCCAAAAUAAUAAAAAGACGGCUCCUACCUCACCUGUCUGUGUCAGAUGGCCAGAGGACUUUAUG